UUACGGCCAUACCACAUUGAAGCACCGGUUCUUGUCUGCUCACCGAAGUUAAGCUACGUCAAGCCUGGUCAGUGCUUAGAUGGCUGACCGCAUGGGAAUAGCAGGUGCUGUAAG